rnacentral:rRNA from 1 species
CCUACGGGAGGCAGCAGUGAGGAAUAUUGGUCAAUGGGCGGGAGCCUGAACCAGCCAAGUCGCGGGAGGGAAGACGGUCCUAUGGAUUGUAAACCUCUUUAGACGGGGAGCAAUGCCGGGCACGCGUGCCCGGAGGGAGAGUACCCGCAGCAUAAGCAUCGGCUAACUCCGAGCCAGCAGCCGCGGUAAUACGGAGGAUGCUAGCGGUAUCCGGAUUUCAUGGGUUUAAGGGGUGCG